rnacentral:rRNA from 1 species
UAGUAAUCGCGGAUCAGCAUGCCGCGGUGAAUACGUUCCCGGGCCUUGUACACACCGCCCGUCACACCAUGGGAGUCGGUAACACCCGAAGUCAGUAGUCUAACCGCAAGGAGGACGCUGCCGAAGGUGGGAUUGAUGACUGGGGUGAAGUCGUAACAAGGUAUC